UUGUAAAACAAAUUUUCUUUGCACUUGGCAUUUGUAUUGAUUUAGUGAAACCAAUGACAUCACAAAUGGUUAGGUCUCAAGAAAAAGAGAAAGACAAGAAAGCCUUCAACUGAAUUUGGUCAUCCAAAUUUAUGGCCUAACUGAGCUAGGGCCUAACUCUGAGGCUAUGCAUGUAGCCUGCAGUACUUCUUGAGCAGAAUAAAUCUUUUUUCUUUUUCCAACUCCCAAGAACAUCAGCUGCAUUUGUGUUCUUAGUGACUGUAGGGCUCCUCAUUUUUAUCUCCCCAAGCAUAGCUUGUGGAAUUCUGUUUUCCACCGUGAGGGGAAAUGGAGGUCAUCUUGUAUAGAAAACGUGAUGGACAGUGUCCAUGCUGAGUGAACUGGCAGCACGUAGGACAGCCACUCUCAAGCAUGCUGUAUUUAAGCUGUGUUAAGAAUGGGAGCUGAGAGAAAGGAUAAGCAAUGAAAGAGUGUAAUGUUAAAAGCAAGCAUCCAUGCUCCUCACGGUGUACCCUUUCUUAUAAACAACAUGAGGAAAAAUACUGGUCAAAUCUGGAACUCCUUCAUCAUCAGCCCUCCACAAGAAAAAGAAAAAAUACCCACCCCUAAAGUUUAACAGCUAAUUAGUCAGAAUUUUUGCCUAGAAAUUACUUUCUGUCCUAGAUCGGAGUAUCCAUUAUUUAUUUCUUGAAUAAUUAUGGUAAAAAUACAGUUCUACUUUACUGAGGUGCUGUUCUUUCAGAGAUAAAUGCAACCAUUUCUCAGAUAUUUCUUUUAAAACUAAAAUUAAGUGGGAGAGUAAAAAAAUUAGAAAUUAAUUAUGUAUUUCUUGCAAAUGACACUCCAGUUUUCUGAAGAGUGCAGGUGCUUCCUCCUUGUCUCCUACUUUUAUCUCUCAGUUCACUAGAUGUCGGAUGUUUUCUUAGGAUUGCUUACCUGUGAGAGCACUCCAGUUAAAACCAGCAAGAAGCCAGAUUGGAAACAGAAGAGGAAGUAAAGUUUGUACAAAGCUGCUUGCAGGAGAUAGAAAGCUAUCAAAGGUGCAGCUCAGCAUUGCAGUUUCUUCUGACUGAAGUGGUUCACUUUGAAUGGGGCAAGCAAAUGAAACAGGCUGAAGGUGCUGCUAUUUGGAAAACAACAGCUGUAGAGCUGUUGAUUGUUGGCAAGGAACACAACUGCCAUCCCCGUAUUCAGCAGGAGUGCGAUCCUUGAAACAGAGUGCUUCAAAGCAGGGACAGGGAAUACCGCUGACUGCACGACACCGUGCUAAGGCUCUGGAGAAAGAAACGUGUCCACUCCCCAGCUCUGUCUGCCAAGAGUGACAAUCAGCAAAACAUGAACUUUCCGGUGAAAUGCUGAGAACAACAACCCAAAACGGUGAAAAUUUCAGAACUGCCAUGCCCUCACAAAACAAAGAGACACCCUGAGACCUCUUG
rnacentral:lncRNA from 1 species